ACAAGUACUUUCACCUGAACCUCCUUGCUACCUCCUGUCUCAUCAUCCAGUGCCUCAUCACCACUUUCCCCUCCAACUGCCCUCCCAUAAUCUUUGGUGGACCCCUCAAACAAGCUCAUAGGUAUCACCAUAUUCAAUGUUGGCCGACCCCGCAGCUCUUGCCUGCGCUGCUCCAUGCUCUCCUGCAAUACUGCCUUUAACUCCUGCUCAAAAAUUUCAGCUUCCAAUGGAUCCACCUCAGCCACUUUUUGUCUGAAAUGGACUUCAUCAUCCUCAUCGGAAACUGGUCCACCCCCAUCAUCAUCAUCCUCCUCCUCUGUCUCACAUCCAUCAUCACGAUUCUCUUCGUCCAACUCCUCUUCAUCAUGCCCUUCCUGGUCAAGGGUGUCGCUGCCUGAAUCAGUGUCACUUUCACCAAUGUCCUCAUGGAUUCCACCAUUUUCCUCAU
rnacentral:misc_RNA from 1 species